GAGGGCACAGCUCAGUGGUAGAGCAUGUGCUCAGCGUGCACAAGGUCCUGGGUUCAAUCCCCAGCACCUCCU
rnacentral:tRNA from 1 species